rnacentral:snoRNA from 1 species
CCAUGAUGGUGGCACAAUCUCAACAUCUCUUUGAAGCGUUCACAAGCUUCAUAGAACGAUUCUCCUUCCUUUUAAGAGAAACUUGUGAUUUGAUUUCUCAAUUG